GAGGAAGAGGGUUUUACUCUCAGCCUCAGAACAUUUCUAUCAGAGCUCUGAGAGACACAAUGAAGGAAACAUCUGUCAAAUUUCUGCUCACUCUGACCUCAGUGCUGAGCUGCACAACAAACCAAGCAGCUUUUCUGACUGUGAGUCCCAGCAGAUCUCAGUUCUUUAAAGGUAAAGAAGUGUCUCUGAGCUGUGAGGAGAACAACAGCUCUGCUGGAUGGACUGUAUGGAGGAACACAACCAGAGAAACCAGGACUCAGUGUGGAGAUGGAUGGGGGAAACCAGCUGGUUCUACCUGUAAGAUCACCUUACAUCGCUUUGACAGUGGAGUUUACUGGUGUUGGUCGUCCAGAGAGGGA